GCGCCCGUAGCUCAGCUGGAUAGAGUGUCGGCCUCCGAAGCCGAAGGUCGCAGGUUCGAAUCCUGCCGGGCGCGCCA
rnacentral:tRNA from 2 species